UCUUCUUGGGGUUCCCUUGUAUGUUGUUUCUUUUCCCUAGCUGCUUUCAAGAUUUUCUCUUUGUCUUUAAUUUUGGUCAGUUUGAUUAGUAUGUGUCUCAGGGUGUUCCUCCUUGGGUUUAUUUUAUAUGGUACUCGUUGUGCUUCCUGGAUUUGAGUGAGUGAUUCCUUCCCCAUGUUAGGGAAGUUUUCAGCUAUUAUCACUUGGAAUAUUUUUUCUGUCUCCUUCUCUCACUCUUUUCCUUCUGGCACCCAUAAAAUAUGGAUGUUGGUGCGUUUAACAUUGUUCCAGAGUUCUCUGAGACGCUCUUCAUUUGUUUUCAAUCUUUUUUCUCUUUUCUGUUCCACAUCUGUAAUUUCCACUAAUCUGUCCUCCACCUCGCUUAUUCAUUCUUCUGCCUCCUGUAUUCUGCCAUUGGCUGCUUCUAGUGAAUUUUUUAUUCCAGUUAUUGUAUUUUGCAUCUCUUCUUGUUUAUGUCUCAUAUCUCUUUGCUCAGUGUUUCCUGUAAGUUAUCCAUCUUUGCCUCCAUUUAUUUCCAAUGUCUUGCAUCAACAAUCUAAAGUCUUUUUCCUGGAGGCUAAGAAUCUCCUCCUCACUUAGCUGUUUUUCUGGGGUUUUUUUUUUUUCUCCCUCAUCCAAGUUAUAGUUCUCUGUCUUUUCAUAUUUAUAGGUUUUUGGUGUGGUGACCUUCUUACAGAUAAUAGAGUUGUAGCCUCUCUUACUUCUGAUGUCUGCCCCCCUGUGGUGGAAGUCAGUAUGGGGGCUUGCUGUAGGCUUCCUGAUGGGAGGGGCUGAUGCCUGCCCCCUGGUAGGUAGAGCCGAUUCUAAUCCCUCCAGUGGGUGGGGCUUAGUCUCUGGAUGGGAUUAGAGGCAGCUGUGUGCCUGAGGGGUCUUUAGGUAGCCUGUUCACUGAGGGGAGGGGCUGUGAUCCCACCUGGGUUGUUGUUUGCCCUGGAGCUUCUCAGCAGCUGACUGAAGGGUGGGUCCAGAUUUUCCCAAAAUAGCCACCUCCAGAGAAAGGAAGGGCUGCUCAAUAUUCCUGAGAGCUUUGCUUUCAAUGUCCUUCCCUCACAACAAGCCACAUUCAUCCCUGUUUUCCCAGGAGGUCCUCCAAGAACUGCAGUCAGGUUUGACCCAGAUUCCCUUGGAGACAUUGCUUUGCCCUGGGACCCAGUGCACUUCAAUGUCUGUGUGUGCCUUUUAAGAAUGGGGGUCUCCAUUUCCCCCAGUCCCGUGGAGCUCCUGCACACAAGUCCCACUGACCUUCAAUGCCAAAUGCUCUGGGGCUCUUUCUCCCUGAGCUAGAUCCCCACACGUGAGAGUUUGAUUUGGUGCUCAUGACUCUCACUCCUGUAGGUGAAUCUCUGUGAACCAGUUAGUUUCUAGUCUGUGGAGCUUCCCACCCAGGAGGUAUAGGGUUGUUUACAUCACGAAAUCGCCCCUCCUACCUCUUGAUGUGUCCUCCUCUUUUUCUUCUGGAGUAGGAUAUCUUUUUUAAGGUUUCCAGUCCAUUUGGGUGAAGAGUGCUCAGUCUUUAGUUGUGAAUUUUGUUGUUUUUAGGAGAGAAGUUGAGCUCCAGUCCUUCUAUUCUGCCAUUUUAAUCCCAUCUCCUCGUCCCAUGCACUUUAAAAAAAAAAAAUUUUUUUUAAGACAUUUGCCUGAGGAGCCAGAUCAAGAUGGCUGAGUAUGAGAACAUGGAACUCACCUCCCCCUACGGUUACAUCUAUAGGUGGAACAAUUUUCACGGAAAACUAGCUGGGAGCUGGCAGAAGAAGUCCUAUACCACCAUAGCUGCAUCAUCUCCACAUAACUGGGUAGCACAGGAGAAAAACACAUCAGGCCAGGACCUGUGCUCCUGGGAGGGAUCUGUAAGGAAAAGAAGGGCCACACAGGCAGACGCACCCUGGGACAUGAGCAGGUCAACUCACAGUCUGGGCACUCAGACUGUGGAUGCAAUAGAGGAGACAUGCCCCUGUGCCUACAGACAGAAGCAAUGGAGAACCUAGACUUUACUCACAAGGAGUGUGCACGUAUACAGGCUUACUAACAGUCAGGGCGAAGAGAGCCUUAACCUAGUGGCUGCCACCUCCCUGUAUUUCCCAACCUGAAAGGUCAAAACAGCCAGGCCCUGUUCACUCCACACACAGCCUGGGCAAUGACACAGUCUAGCACCUGAGGUGUGAUACAGGUAGAGCCAUGGAGACCACUGUCAGCAUGCACACUGGGGUGGCCAGUCCAGCCACAGCAGACAUGGUGGUGCCACAAGGGUGCACAGUGGCUAAGGUUUGAAGAUUGGACAGAUAUGCCCUGGGCAGGAGUACACAGCAGCUGUUUCCCUGCAAGAGCACCCUGGCUCCACCCACUUAACACUGUAGCUUAACUUUGGAUCUGGGGCAGAUAGGUCCUGGGAGAAAUCUGCCACAAAGGCAGUCCAGACCUCAGGCAGCAGAAUGUCCACCUCAAUUCCUGCAACUACAAUGCCUUGAUCCCCAGCCUACUUCACACCACAGCCUAGCACUAGAUCUGGGACAAACACAAAAGAGAAAAGGAUGUGACUUUGGGCUGCUUUUAAGGGGAUCCAUGGAUGCCUAUACAGGCAGCAGUUAGGUCUCCUGUGAUGGCAUGGGCCUCGCUUUAGCAAUCACUUUUGGAGUAGAGAACACAGUCAAGGGCAAUGCAACCUGAUCAAUCAAACCUAACCCUCAGGGCUUCUACUCCAACAUCUGGAGAGCAGACCCUACCCACAACAGGAUGAUGACAGCCACAGAGCAAAGAGGAAGCCCCAUCUCACAUCCAAUACAGGCUUUAGACACUACAAUACCAACCACAUCCCUUAGUAAGGGGAUAACACCAACAGCCAGCACACUCUGAGGAAACUCAUGGUUGGCAUCCAUACCAAAACUAGCCUUUACCAAAACCACUGAACACCCAGUUUACACAGGGAUGCUCCCACAUAAAAACAUUAAAAACACCCCUUUAACAACAAAGUAGAUAACUAUAGUUCCUAAAUUCAGAGACAGAGAAAAUUGAGUAAAAUGAAAAGGCAGAGGAAUUACUCCCAAUUAAAAGAACAGGAGAAAUCCCCCGAAAGAACAAAAUAUGAAACAGAACUCACCAGUCUAUUUGACCUUGAUAGACAAAAAGGAGGUUAAAAAAAAAUCUAAAAGAAUUCAGAAACAUUGAUAGAAAUGCAGAUCACUGUUAACAAGGAAAUAGAAACCGCAAGAUUAACUAAUUAAAAAUAAACAAUUUGUGGAGUUCCUGUCAUGGCUCAGUGGUUAUCAAACCGAGUAGUAUCUAUGAGGAUGCAGCUUUGAUCCCUGGCCUUGCUCAUGGGUUAAGGAUCUGGCGUUGCUGUGAGCUGUGCUGUAGGUCACAGACAUGGCUCAGAUCUGGCAUUGCUGUGGCUGUGGUGUUGGCUGGCAGCUAUAGCUCCAAUGUAACCCCUAGUCCAGGAACCUCCAUAUGCCGCAGGUGUGGCCCUAAAAAGUCAAAAGACAAAAAAAAAAAAAAAAAAAAA
rnacentral:lncRNA from 1 species